rnacentral:rRNA from 1 species
GAUGAACGCUGGCGGCGUGCCUAAUACAUGCAAGUCGAGCGAACUGAUUAGAAGCUUGCUUCUAUGACGUUAGCGGCGGACGGGUGAGUAACACGUGGGCAACCUGCCUGUAAGACUGGGAUAACUUCGGGAAACCGAAGCUAAUACCGGAUAGGAUCUUCUCCUUCAUGGGAGAUGAUUAAAAGAUGGCUUCGGCUAUCACUUACAGAUGGGCGCGCGGUGCAUUAGCUAGUUGGUGAGGUAACGGCUCACCAAGGCAACGAUGCAUAGCCGACCUGAGAGGGUGAUCGGCCACACUGGGACUGAGACACGGCCCAGACUCCUACGGGAGGCAGCAGUAGGGAAUCUUCCGCAAUGGACGAAAGUCUGACGGAGCAACGCCGCGUGAGUGAUGAAGGCUUUCGGGUCGUAAAACUCUGUUGUUAGGGAAGAACAAAUACGAGAGUAACUGCUCGUACCUUGACGGUACCUAACCAGAAAGCCACGGCUAACUACGUGCCAGCCGCCGCAGUAAUAC